GGGUUUUCUACUGAAGAAAAAUGUAUUUUAGUCGUAUUUUAUUUUGUUUGGUGGUUUGCUAGAAAGGUACUUGAAUGUGGUGGGAUGGACUUCUCUCGAGGUUUAAGAUACAUAUAUGGUCUUGAUGUGCUGGUUUAGCCUUUGAACCAUCGAAUUAAGAUAUUAUUGUUAGUUCGUUACGAUGUCUAAUUGUCUAUUGACAUUGGUCGCCCCUUGGUUUUUCUCAAUACCUGAUGGUAGAAGUCCACAUUAUUUUGACUGAUCUUGAUCUAGCACCAUUACUGUAUUAAUUGUUCUCUUGAAUCUUAUGAAUAUAUACUGUUG
rnacentral:misc_RNA from 1 species